AACCUCAUCAACCGGAAGGGAUUCCUUCCAGUUGAUGAGGUAUAGCUUCCUCAUUGACUGGAAGGACUCUCCUUUGGUCAAUGAGGAAGCUAAACCUCAUCAACCAGAAGGAAUUCCUCCCGGUGGAUGAGUUC
rnacentral:miRNA from 1 species